rnacentral:rRNA from 1 species
UACGAAGGGGGCUAGCGUUGCUCGGAAUCACUGGGCGUAAAGCGCACGUAGGCGGAUUGCUAAGUCAGGGGUGAAAUCCUGGAGCUCAACUCCAGAACUGCCUUCGAUACUGGCGAUCUCGAGUCCGGAAGAGGUGAGUGGAACUCCUAGUGUAGAGGUGGAAUUCGUAGAUAUUAGGAAGAACACCAGUGGCGAAGGCGGCUCACUGGUCCGGUACUGACGCUGAGGUGACGAAAGCGUGGGGAGCAAACAGG